ACCGAUGACAACAGGUUAUCAGGUAGAUGACACUGAAGAAGCAUUUUCUGACACUACACUGUACAGGAGUGUGCUAGGCAAGCUAAACUUCAUUGCCAGAUGUUCAAGACCAGACAUUGCUGUUAGCUGUAAUUUGCUAAGCAGACAAGUCAACAAUCCUAGUGUCAAGGAUUGGAAAGCUCUGAAACGCAUAGCGCGGUAUUUGAAAGGCACUAUGCAUUACAGACUGAGAUUUAACAAUCAGAAGUCUGGUGGUCUUGAGAUAUUUGCAGAUGCAAGUUUUGGAAGUGACGCUACAGACAGGAAAAGUACGUCUGGAGUUUGCUACAUGUACAAUCAGAGUCUGUUUGAUUGGUCAUGCAAGAAGCAAACAACAGUUAGCUUAAGUACUUGUGAAGCUGAACUGAAUGCACUGUCUUAUUCACUUAAGGAUUGUGAAUGGUUAGUACAAUUGUGCAAAGAUAUGAAAAUUCCUGUCAAAUGUCCAAUCCAGGUUUACCAGGACAACAAAGCAUGUUUGGCUUUGCUGAAGUCUGAAGGUUGUAAGCAAAGCACAAAGCACUUGCAAUUAAAGUUGCAGCAUGCUAGGGAAUGUAUUCAGAAGGGACUCGUAACGGUGUCCUAUAUGCCAGGUAAUGAAAUUCCUGCUGAUGUAUUGUCCAAGAUUGUAUCAAGGGAUCAACACUGUACCUAUGUGCAGAAGUUGGGUUUGUACUGAUAUUGUACUAACACGCUGCCCAGUGAUGUUCACAGAAAGGGGGAGGAUGUUGGUUUCUAUUUCCCUCACUGAGCAGCAACUGCAGUCACAAGGCAUUGUUUUGCAUUCCACAGUCAGAGGUACUGUUGGAGUUUCUCACGGGAAAGGGAGACUGGAUGUGACGUACACUGGUUUCCUGUUUUUCACUGUCUGUGUGAUUCUCUCCAAGCUGUCGAGGAGAGAGGAUGCAUUUUUCUGCUCUUGCAGAGGCAAGAUGUCUUUCUGUAAUAUACCAGCUUUGAACUGUAAAUAAAGCAAUUUAGAGUAUG